GUGGGCGUAGCUCAGCUGGUUAGAGCACCUGGUUGUGGCCCAGGAGGCCGUGGGUUCAAGUCCCAUCGCUCACCCCA
rnacentral:tRNA from 3 species